UUUUUUUUUGUUCUGUUGUUUUCUUAGCAGAAAUUAAAUAAAGUGUACAUCCACACUUGACUUGCCUUAGGUGAAGCACGUAUAAUUUUACCGUUUGUCUACCAAAAGGGAAACAAAUCUCAUAGUAACUUUCAUUUCGAGUUGAUUGCUACAUAUCCAAAGUUCCUUAAUCCAUACUACAAUCAGAUCAGCUUUUUACUUGCUAGAUCUUUUUUCAUUGAACUUUGCACUGCAGUGCUUGCUUUGCUUGCAUGAGUGAGAGUCCUGACCCAACAGCAACUAACUUGGUAUGAGUGACUGUGGUUACAGUCACAACUAAGAGACAGAUUCCUUUCUCUUUGGAGCUUGCCUUGAACAAACAAACUGCGUGGUAUAUACAACUGUAACCAGAGCAACUAUGUAUUGUAUGUAGCAGUAGCGGUAGCACUCUUUGGACCAGGCACCAACAUGACAAGUUAUCUACUACAUUUAGAUGCAUGCAUUGUACCGCUCAACUUCUCUGGAAUGGCAAGACAAUUGAAUCGACUCGCCAUUUAUAUGCAGGUCGACAUCUCCGCCACCGGGAUUUGAAGCAACAGCACCAUCACCGGCGUCGGCAACUACCUCAAGGAGAAGAACCCAAAUGCAAAGCGGCGUUGCUACAGGUUCCCCGCUUGACUGGUGGUCUUUCGUUAUUGUGCGGCGUUGAGAGCAUGCUUCGGCUUUGGCUACUAAUGACGCAGGUGAUUUCCCCUUCUUACCUUCUUCCUUUCCCUGUGCUCUCGGCACUGGCCUUUGUGCCAUGACCAUG